rnacentral:rRNA from 1 species
CAGUCGCCGCGGUAAUACGAAGGUCCCGAGCGUUGUUCGGAAUCACUGGGCGUAAAGGGAGCGUAGGCGGCGUGGUAAGUCAGAUGUGAAAUCCCGGGGCUCAACCCCGGAACUGCAUCCGAUACUGCCGUGCUAGAGGAUUGGAGAGGUAGCUGGAAUUCUUGGUGUAGCAGUGAAAUGCGCGGAGAUCAAGAGGAACACUCGUGGCGAAAGCGAGCUACUGGACAAUAUCUGACGCUGAGGCUCGAAGGCCAGGGUAGCGAAAGGGAUUAGAUACCCCCGUAGUCCCUGUCUCUUAUAC